AAACCAUGCAUAGGACACUUCCACAACAAAUCUUUAAAUCUUUCACAUGCUUCAUACAAUCUAUCAUCAUCCAUAUGCUUGAAUGAAGUUAAGUCAUUUUGAAGAUU